rnacentral:pre_miRNA from 13 species
GAGGUGCUCAGUAGUCAGUGUAGAUCCUGUGUUGCAAUCAGCAGCUACAUCUGGCUACUGGGUCUCUG